AGAGUUUGAUCCUGGCUCAGGACGAACGCUGGCGGCGCGCCUAACACAUGCAAGUCGAACGGAGCUUAGAGAGCUUGCUUUUUAAGCUUAGUGGCGAACGGGUGAGUAACGCGUGAGUAACCUGCCCUAGAGUGGGGGACAACAGUUGGAAACGACUGCUAAUACCGCAUAAGCCCACGGUGCCGCAUGACACUGAGGGAAAAGGAUUUAUUCGCUUUAGGAUGGACUCGCGUCCAAUUAGCUAGUUGGUGAGGUAACGGCCCACCAAGGCGACGAUUGGUAGCCGGACUGAGAGGUUGAACGGCCACAUUGGGACUGAGACACGGCCCAGACUCCUACGGGAGGCAGCAGUGGGGGAUAUUGCACAAUGGGGGAAACCCUGAUGCAGCGACGCCGCGUGGAGGAAGAAGGUUUUCGGAUUGUAAACUCCUGUCGUUAGGGACGAUAAUGACGGUACCUAACAAGAAAGCACCGGCUAACUACGUGCCAGCAGCCGCGGUAAAACGUAGGG
rnacentral:rRNA from 1 species